rnacentral:lncRNA from 1 species
UGGCAUUACAUAUCUAUAUUGAUGAAGGGUAUGUGUUUACCCUUGAAACAAUAUAGUUGAAUUUGUACGCGUGGUGUGAAAACACAUGAGUUGAAUUGGCCACAUAAUUAGAAUAGCUGUUGAACUCUGACCAUGCACCCAGGUUUGUCAGAUAGGUGGUUUGUAGCACGAGGCCCAUCGCGGGGAAGAGGGUCCACAACGCAGGGUCUAUCUCGAACUCCUACUUCCUUGUUCGUGCAUCACAAGUUCAUCGCAUAAAAUUUUGGUUUCAAAAUCUCGAGAAAAAGGUGCGGCGCGGGCCAUCGCGAGGCAAGCACCCUUGACUCUAAUUCUGCAGUCUCUUUGGCUGGAUCUUGAUUUGGGAUACUUUACUUUGCGUUCCAAUCCAUCUUUUGGGUCAUUUCUUGUUGUUUUUGGCCUGAAAUCAAUAUAAUCAUAUCUAUUAGCUGAUUACAACAAUUAUACAUAAAACACAUAGAUAUUCAUAAGUAUAUACUCAAAACUUAGCUAAAUCAUGAAUAAAUUAUUGUAAUUGAAUUCGUUAUACACCUCAUAUUUUUGAAGGAUGAGAUCAUGACUUAGAAAUGAAAAGAAAAGAAAAAUCAAAAUUAAUGGAG